GGGGCUGACCGGUUUUGACAGCGGGUAGAAGUGGUUUGUAAGCAUGUAGUGCGUGGUUGGCUUGCACUUAAAUCUCAGACAGCAAAAUAUUAACUGGCGAAAACAAUUACGCUCUCGCUGCUUGAUCGAAGUAUAGUAGAUUAAAGCUUAAUCCUUGCAAUAGUUGCAGGGACGUGACAUCACCCGGAUGCUGUGGCUUCGAAGCGGUCCGAACCGGUGGUGCAGCAAUAUCGGAGAUAGUUUAAAGUGAGCCUCGGGCUUUGAGCGAAACUCAAGAGGAUACGGUAAGAGUAGGUGGCUUCGGUCUUGCCCUUACCCGACAAUUUAGGCGAAGAUAAACAUGUAGAAAGCAAAUUAAUUCCUCGUUUGGACGAGGGUUCAAAUCCCUCCAGCUCCAC
rnacentral:tmRNA from 1 species